CUUUAGUCUUCACACGUUCACUAGCCACAGCGAUAAUUAUAUGCACAUCGAACAUGAAGAUCAUUAGUUUCCGGAUCGUCGAUUCUCCACAGUAGAUCACAGAGUUCCAGAUUCCAGAUUUUCCAAAAUGAAGAUUCGUUCAUCGACGCCGAGGGUUCCGAGGUUCUGUAUCCAAAUUUAUACCUAGAUAAAAACAUUAUACAUCAAAAUAUUUUACAAUGUUGAUUGAUCUGAGUUUAAGAGUCCAUGGAAUGGAUAAAAACAAUUCUGCAGUAUACCUAAGCAAAUAGUAGUAUCAUAAAAGCAAGCUCAUGCAGAUUUA